AUUGAACGCUGGCGGCAGGCCUAACACAUGCAAGUCGAACGGUAACAGGAAGAAGCUUGCUUCUUUGCUGACGAGUGGCGGACGGGUGAGUAAUGUCUGGGAAACUGCCUGAUGGAGGGGGAUAACUACUGGAAACGGUAGCUAAUACCGCAUAACGUCGCAAGACCAAAGAGGGGGACCUUCGGGCCUCUUGCCAUCGGAUGUGCCCAGAUGGGAUUAGCUAGUAGGUGGGGUAACGGCUCACCUAGGCGACGAUCCCUAGCUGGUCUGAGAGGAUGACCAGCCACCCUGGCACUGAGACACGGUCCAGACUCCUACGGGAGGCAGCAGUGGGGAAUAUUGCACAAUGGGCGCAAGCCUGAUGCAGCCAUGCCGCGUGUAUGAAGAAGGCCUUCGGGUUGUAAAGUACUUUCAGCGGGGAGGAAGGGAGUAAAGUUAAUACCUUUGCUCAUUGACGUUACCCGCAGAAGAAGCACCGGCUAACUCCGUG
rnacentral:rRNA from 1 species